CAAAAUUUAUUCAGAGUAAUUAACUCCUAUUAAAAAGUACUUGUACCUGAUUCACCUUACAUUAGUUUUCUAUUCCUGUUGUCGACAGUCAGACAAAUAUAAUCUUCCUCCAUCAUUCUCUGGACAUUUUCAAGUUUGUCGGCGAAUUGAAGAAAUAAUCGCAUAAUUGAGGCGUAAUCGAGGUUUCCAAUGAAAUAAUUCUCACGGGCACAAUUGAUGAUGACCUCUACCACUUCUUCUUGCAGAAAUCUCCCUCAACACCCAAGAUUUCAAGAUCCUUGAUAUCUGACAAUAAGAGCAGAAAAGGUGUUCCUGCUUCUAGCUCGUCACCUGUUGUUUUUUCAUGCUGUCUUCAAUUCCUCUAGUUCUAGCUUAGAUCUAUGGCACAGACGUUUUGGUCACUGUCCCUUUGAUGUUGUCAAGAAAGCUCUAGAUCAUUGUAAUAUCUCAUUCAAUUUAAUAAAAGAGUCUGGUCUUUGUCUUCCUUGUUCA